GGAAAAGACUGUUGAAAUAUAACUUUUCUGCUAUAUUGUGACAAAAAUAUUGUUUUAGUUAAUAAAUUAAAUUAUUAAUAUCUGUUUCAAUUUUGAAUUUUAGAAAUUUAUACAACUUUGCCAAAUUAAACUGGUAUGAACUAGUUGGAUAAAAAUCGACAGGAAGGUUGAUGGAAGAGCCUACACAAAUACCGUACACUUUAUACACAGC
rnacentral:lncRNA from 1 species